GAUGAACGCUGGCGGCGUGCCUAAUACAUGCAAGUCGAGCGAACAGACGAGGAGCUUGCUCCUCUGACGUUAGCGGCGGACGGGUGAGUAACACGUGGAUAACCUACCUAUAAGACUGGGAUAACUUCGGGAAACCGGAGCUAAUACCGGAUAAUAUAUUGAACCGCAUGGUUCAAUAGUGAAAGACGGUUUUGCUGUCACUUAUAGAUGGAUCCGCGCCGCAUUAGCUAGUUGGUAAGGUAACGGCUUACCAAGGCAACGAUGCGUAGCCGACCUGAGAGGAUGAUCGGCCACACUGGAACUGAGACACGGUCCAGACUCCUACGGGAGGCAGCAGUAGGGAAUCUUCCGCAAUGGGCGAAAGCCUGACGGAGCAACGCCGCGUGAGUGAUGAAGGUCUUCGGAUCGUAAAACUCUGUUAUUAGGGAAGAACAAAUGUGGAAGUAACUAUGCACGUCUUGACGGUACCUAAUCAGAAAGCCACGGCUAACUACGUG
rnacentral:rRNA from 1 species